GCAUACUUCAGCGGACAUCCUUGGCUCGUAAGUGACUUUCUCUGGGGAUAAAAGCUCUAUGUCAAAUUCGUAGUCGCAUGUCGUUGAGAAGCAUCAAGUCUGACGUGUUAAGUUACCGGUUUCCGCUACACCCGUCUGGUGGUGUGUGAAUAGCAAGGACUUAAAGAGUGACACGGUAGGAAUUCUCCGUAAUGAUCAAGAAUCCAAUUACUGGACUUAAGAGGUGACGUGGCAGGAAUUCCCAGAACAUCAUCGGUAACUAUUUUUCCUUCAGAAAUAAUCAGAAUCGAUGGGUCCGAGUUUGUGAAUUGCAGUCUUGUACUAGUUUCCACACGUCAUAUAAAUCUGCUCCAGUGUACGCAAACGACCGAAUGAUUGACUACCGAGGAGCAGUAGGCUGAUCUGAUGUAAGUGUAGGUAGCCUCGACUGAGCUGAAAUACUGACACGGAUUUUGCUUGAAUACCCUCGACUUAGUUAACGGCAUUUUCUUUUGUGCUGACGGUUGUCUGGUUUUCAUUCACUUUGUUGUGUACGUGAAUGUAGUUUUUUUUCCUUUUUUUAAUUUUUUAAUUGAAGGGACUAAUUUCUGCCUCCGAAUUACUGAAGAAUGCGAAUUAUGGUAACUCGUCUGGGCAUGAUUGUGUAAUAAAGGUAUAAAAUUUG